GACAGAGUAGCUCAGUCUGGUAAGAGCGGAGGAUUCAUAACCCUCAGGUCGGGAGUUCGACUCUCCCCUCUGUCA
rnacentral:tRNA from 1 species